CCAGGCCAACAUUUGUUCACAGAUUCCUCAUCAAAUCUACAAUUGAAGAGAGAAUGCAAGCAAUGCUGAAGACGGCAGAAAAAAGUCACACCACCACAGCCAUGAAGCACUCAGAGGCUGCAGUACUGACAGUCGCUGACUUGGCUGAUCUGUUCACUGAAGACACUGAACCUCUGGAGUGAAUCUCAGCACUGGGCUCCUCACAGAGGGAUACCAAGUAAAGCAAACAGGAGAAAAAGGGAGUUCACGAUUUACACAGCGGUGACAAAUUUUGCACAUUCCACUUUUUUUAUAUGAGCAUCCUGAUGUUACGAAAUGAAUUUCCAAAAACUAUUUUAAGAAAUCUCUGAUGGAUGAUGACUACAAAUUUCUUACUUGUUGAAUUUUAACUCAAUUUAGAGCUGAUGCAUUUGCAUCACUUGUCAUAGUUGUAUCUUACUGGUCCAACUUGUUCAGCUGUGUUUGUUUAUCGCAUUUAGUCAGGUGUGUUCAUUUAUGUGCAACUUCACUGUAUCUCCAGAUGGACUGAACCACUUUGAGGCAUUCUCACAACAUUCAGGAAAUAAAAGUCUGUGAGUGACGGGUCGUCCGCCUGUUAUUGCCAGAUUUCUUUGUGCUGUCCUUUUACUGUGUGGUUUAAAAAAAUGAAGCAGGAAGGACGGCAUUGAUUUGUGCUCACCUCUGACAUAAACUCACUUUUACUCUUUUACAACUGAAGUGAAAGACUGUCGCGGGAUUUCUUCGGCCGGGCAAUCGACCUUAAGUUAUUUCACUGUUGAAACAAAGCCACACAGUUUGGUCUAACAAUAGCGCCCAUCCUAUUUGCAAGACAAAAAGAAGCACAAUGUGCAGAUUGUUGGAAACUAAUCUUGCAAAUCAAACUUGUAAAAAUUGUGUGAAGAUGUUUUGUGCUUUACAGCAACUGUCUCAUUCUUUUCUAUUCCUCUAAAUCAUCUGGUCAAGCUUAGGAAUCAUGUGGCUUAAUUAAAUGUUACUUGUCUUAAA